GGGCCGGUAGCUCAGUGGGAGAGCGCUGCGUUCGCAUCGCAGAAGUCGGGGGUUCAAAUCCCCCUCGGUCCA
rnacentral:tRNA from 1 species